UACGGAGGGUGCAAGCGUUAUCCGGAAUCAUUGGGUUUAAAGGGUCCGUAGGCGGCCUUAUAAGUCAGUGGUGAAAUCUCCCGGCUCAACCGGGAAAUGGCCAUUGAUACUGUAGGGCUUGAAUUACCAGGAAGUAACUAGAAUAUGUAGUGUAGCGGUGAAAUGCUUAGAUAUUACAUGGAAUACCGAUUGCGAAGGCAGGUUACUACUGGUUGAUUGACGCUGAGGAGCGAAAGCGUGGGGAGCGAACAGG
rnacentral:rRNA from 1 species